UACGUAGGGGGCUAGCGUUGUCCGGAAUCAUUGGGCGUAAGGCGCGUGUAGGCGGCCCGGUAAGUCCGCUGUGAAAGUCGGGGGCUCAACCCUCGAAUGCCGGUGGAUACUGUCGGGCUAGAGUACGGAAGAGGCGAGUGGAAUUCCUGGUGUAGCGGUGAAAUGCGCAGAUAUCGGGAGGAACACCAAUGGCGAAGGCAGCUCACUGGGACGGUAUUGACGCUGAGACGCGAAAGCGUGGGGAGCAAACAGG
rnacentral:rRNA from 1 species